rnacentral:rRNA from 1 species
AGGACGAACGCUGGCGGCGUGCUUAACACACGCAAGUCGAGCGGUAAGGCCUUUCGGGGUACACGAGCGGCGAACGGGUGAGUAACACGUGGGUGAUCUGCCCUGCACUUCGGGAUAAGCCUGGGAAACUGGGUCUAAUACCGGAUAUGACCUCAGGUUGCAUGACUUGGGGGUGGAAAGAUUUAUCGGUGCAGGAUGGGCCCGCGGCCUAUCAGCUUGUUGGUGGGGUAAUGGCCUACCAAGGCGACGACGGGUAGCCGACCUGAGAGGGUGACCGGCCACACUGGGGACUGAGACACGGCCCAGACUCCUACGGGAGGCAGCAGGUGGGGAAUAUUGCACAAUGGGACGAAAG